ACUGACUAACAGACAGGUUGAUACAGAUGGAGUCCCCUGACUAACAGACAGGUUGAUACAGAUGGAGUCUACUGACUAACAGACAGGUUGAUACAGGAUACAUGGUUUGUCAUGGAGUCCCCUGAAACAGAUGUCUGAACUAGAGACCUUGCUCUCAGCAUUACAAUGAUACUAGUACUUGUCAUCAUCUUCUGUUAUUAUUGAAUUUAAUAGUAGAGGGGGGUGACCCUGUGUAUUCUUCAAACUUGUCAGGGAACUGUCCUAUAUGGGACACCAUACGAAGGGAUACUGACUAAUAUGCAGCGGCAGCGUAGCCUAUUGGUUAGAGUGUAGAGGUGGCAGGGUAGCCUAGUGGUUAGAGUGUGGAGGUGGCAGGUAGCCUAGUGGUUAGAGUGUAGAGGUGGCAGGUAGCCUAGUGGUUAGAGUGUAGAGGUGGCAGGUAGCCUAGUGGUUAGAGUGUAGAGGCGGCAGGUAGCCUAGUGGUUAGAGUGUAGAGGUGGCAGGUAGUCUAGUGACACAAGUCAUUUUUCCAACAAUUGUUUACAGACAGAUUAUUUUGACUUAUAAUUCACUGUAUCACAAUUCCAGUGGGUCAGAAGUUUACAUACACUAAGCUGACUGCCUUUAAACAGCUUGGAAAAUUCCAGAAAAUGAUGUCAUGGCUUUAGAAGCUUCUGAUAGGCUAAUUGACAUAAUUUGAGUCAAUUGGAGGUGUACCUGUGAAUGUAUUUCAAGGCCUACCUUAAAACUCAGUGCCUCUUUGCUUGACAUCAUGUGAAAAUCGAAAGAAAUCAGCCAAGACCUCAGAAAAGAAAAGUCGACCUCCACAAGUCUGGUUCAUCCUUGGGAGCAAUUUCCAAACGCCUGAAGGUACCACAUUCAUCUGUACAAACAAUUGUACGCAUGUAUAAACACCAUGAGAGGUGAGAGGUGGCAGGUAGCCUAGUGGUUAGACCACACCCCUCUUUUGGGGAUUCAGUAAUGUCUGCUGUAUUUCUUAAUGAGCACCAUGAGAAACACAUGCAGCUCACCUUAAACAUGCAAUAGUAGGCGUUGCAAUUUUAAGACGGUCCCUUAACCCUCACAAGGUUAAGGGUUUAGCUACAUUUCGUCUUAAAAAAGUAAAUAUGACACCGCAUUUGAAAAAAAGGGUUGUAACUUGUUCACUAUCGUUAGCUGAUUCAGAAUCUGCCAUUUAUAUUGAACAAAAAUAUAAAUGCAACAUGUAAAGUGUUGGUCACAUGUUUCAUGAGCUGAAAUAAAAGAUCCCAGAAAUGUUCCAUACGCACAAAAAGCUUAUUUCUCUCAAAUGUGUUUCCAUCCCUGUUAGUGAGCGUUUCUCCUUUGCCAAGAUAAUCCAUCCACCUGACAGGUGUGGCAUAUCAAGAAGCUGAUUAAACAGGAUGAUCAUUACACAGGUGCACCUUGUGCUGGGGACACUAAAAGGCACCUUGUGCCACAGAUGUCUCAAGUUUUGAGAAAGUGUGCAAUUGGCAUGCUGACUGCAGGAAUGUCCACCAGAGAUGUUGACAGAGAAUUGAAUGGUAAUUUCUCUACCAUAAGCCGCCUCCAACAUCGUUUUAGAGAAUUUGGCAGUGCGUCAAAUCGGCCACACAACCGCAGACCACGUGUAACCACGCCAACCCAGGACCUCCACAUACGACUUCUUCUUCUUCCGACUUCUUGGAAUCAUCUGAGAUCAGCCACCCGGACAGCUGAUGAAACUGAGGAGUAUUUUUUGUCUGUAAUCAGGUUAGCUAGCUCAGGGAUGCUACAACAACAUUGUG
ensembl:lncRNA